GGAAUCUUGCGCAAUGCGCGAAAGCGUGACGCAGCAACGCCGCGUGGGCGAAGAAGGCCUUCGGGUCGUAAAGCCCUUUCAGCAGGGACGAAGCUUCGGCAGCGAAUAGCUGUCCGGAGUGACGGUACCUGCAGAAGACGCCCCGGCUAACUACCUGCCAGCAGCCGCGGCAAUACGUAGGGGGCUAGCGUUGUCCGGAAUCAUUGGGCGUAAAGCGCGCGUAGGCGGCCAGAUAAGUCCGGUGUGAAAGUCACAGGCUCAACCUGUGAAUGCCGCUGGAAACUGUCUGGCUAGAGUCCGGAAGGGGCGAGUGGAAUUCCUGGUGUAGCGGUGAAAUGCGCAGAUAUCAGGAGGAACACCAAUGGCGAAGGCAGCUCGCUGGGACGGUACUGACGCUGAGGCGCGAAAGCGUGGGGAGCAAA
rnacentral:rRNA from 1 species